AGUCCAGGUAAUGGAGCAGAGACUGGAGCAGAGACAAGUUGUUCCCACUAAGCUCUCCUCAGAUUACAGAUUGGGAGUGGCAAAUCAAAGGCAUUGCAGCCUCUUUCAUCACUGCCGAUUGCUGAUGCCAACCAUGUGCCAACUGCUUAAUACGUCACCUUAAACCUUCUCAUCCACCCUCAGAGUAGCAGUAGCAUCAACCCAGUGCCCUGACUUUCAAGACGACUAUGAAAACACCCCAACUGCUGCUAAAUUACCAGCAACAAGGAUCUGACAUUCUUACUAAAAAGAAAGAACACCGAAAUUGACCUUACCCUGACAAUGUGAUGGCUGAAGGAUUUAUGAUCACUUAUAACAUUUGAAAUUGAGGUGGAACCUGAAGAAUACAACUCUGGUGAAAGGUCCUAUUUAUGCUUUUGAUGUCUUUCACUUGGACAUUUACCAUAUGCCUAUUGGGAUGUUUGUUACAUAGGACAGCUAAGGUGAUACAAGAAUAAAGAAAACACUAUCCCUAUCCUUUAAUAUUAUUUAUUUAUGGGGUCAAUCAUAGUUUUUCAUUUUUCAAAAUCUUUGAUAAAUGUCAGAAUUAUGUUUUUAACAUUUUUACAGAAUUAUUACAACAUAUGGUAGAGGAUGGAAGGCAAGGUAGUGUGAAAUGGAAAAGAUAUUUUGAAUUAAGAUAUUUGGACCUGGAUUCAUAUUUUUGCUUUGGUCUUUAUUAGCUGAGUGACCUUGGGAAAGUUCUUCUACUAAAAAAGAAUAAAGAUAAUAAUUACUUCAUGAAAUUGCUGUAAAAAACACAUAACAAGUAUAUCCACACUCAACAGUGUAUGCUCAAAAAUGCAGAUCCUUUUUCCCUUACCUGCAAAAAAAGUCUUACAGCAAUAGAGUGGGGGUAAAGGUUUAAACUGGGGGAUUCAAGAAGGGUUAUAGAAAGAGGUAGCAUUUUAAUAGGGGAAGGAGUGGAUCCAAGAAAUCAGAUCUAUUUUCUACAAAAAGAAAUAGGAAGACAGGCAAUUCAAGAAGAAAAGUUUACAUGAUUGAAGACCCGAAGUUAGAAAUAGUUAUGUGUCUCAAUAGUAAGUUAGGAACUGGGGUGGACACAGUUGUUGGAAGAAGGAUGGUUUCAGUAAAGGCCCGAGAGUUAGGUGACAAUUUCAAGUGUUUGUGAAGAUAUAUGAACAAAAUUAUAAAGUAGUUAGGGUAUAAGAAAUAGGGAGGAUGGAAUGAAUUAACAUUUAUGGAGUGUCUUGCAUGUUCCAAGCACUGUACUACUUGCCUCAUAAACCUUUUUUCAAUAAAAGCCUACAACAA
rnacentral:lncRNA from 1 species